rnacentral:snRNA from 1 species
GCCCCGUCGUGCCCGGACCC